rnacentral:misc_RNA from 1 species
GAUGAAGAACGUAGCGAAAUGCGAUAAGUAAUGUGAAUUGCAGAAUUCAGUGAAUCAUCGAAUCUUUGAACGCACAUUGCGCCCGCCAGUAUUCUGGCGGGCAUGCCUGUCUGAGCGUCAUUUCAACCCUCAUGCCCCUAGGGCGUGGUGUUGGGGAUCGGCCAGAGCCCGCGAGGGACGGCCGGCCCCUAAAUCUAGUGGCGGACCCGUCGUGGCCUCCUCUGCGAAGUAGUGAUAUUCCGCAUCGGAGAGCGAUGAGCCCCUGCCGUUAAACCCCCAACUUUCCAAGGUUGACCUCAGAUCAGGUAGGAAUACCCGCUGAACUUAAGCAUAUCAAUAAGCGGAGGA